rnacentral:rRNA from 1 species
GACGAACGCUGGCGGCGUGCCUAAUACAUGCAAGUAGAACGCUGAAGAGAGGAGCUUGCUCUUCUUGGAUGAGUUGCGAACGGGUGAGUAACGCGUAGGUAACCUGCCUUGUAGCGGGGGAUAACUAUUGGAAACGAUAGCUAAUACCGCAUAACAAUGGAUGACACAUGUCAUUUAUUUGAAAGGGGCAAUUGCUCCACUACAAGAUGGACCUGCGUUGUAUUAGCUAGUAGGUGAGGUAACGGCUCACCUAGGCGACGAUACAUAGCCGACCUGAGAGGGUGAUCGGCCACACUGGGACUGAGACACGGCCCAGACUCCUACGGGAGGCAGCAGUAGGGAAUCUUCGGCAAUGGGGGCAACCCUGACCGAGCAACGCCGCGUGAGUGAAGAAGGUUUUCGGAUCGUAAAGCUCUGUUGUAAGUCAAGAACGAGUGUGAGAGUGGAAAGUGCACACUGUGACGGUAGCUUACCAGAAAGGGACGGCUAACUACGUG